rnacentral:rRNA from 1 species
AUUGAACGCUGGCGGAAUGCUUUACACAUGCAAGUCGAACGGCAGCACGGACUUCGGUCUGGUGGCGAGUGGCGAACGGGUGAGUAAUGUAUCGGAACGUGCCCAGUCGUGGGGGAUAACGUAGUGAAAAUUACGCUAAUACCGCAUACGAUCUAUGGAUGAAAGCGGGGGAUCGCAAGACCUCGCGCGAUUGGAUCGGCCGAUAUCAGAUUAGGUAGUUGGUGGGGUAAAGGCCCACCAAGCCAACGAUCUGUAGCUGGUCGGAGGGGACGCCCAGCCACACUGGAACUGAGACACGGUCCAGACUCCUACGGGAGGCAGCAGUGGGGAAUUUUGGACAAUGGGCGAAAGCCUGAUCCAGCCAUUCCGCGUGCAGGAUGAAGGCCCUCGGGUUGUAAACUGCUUUUGUACAGAACGAAAAGGUUUCUACUAAUACUAGGAGCUCAUGACGGUACUGUAAGAAUAAGCACCGGCUAACUACGUGCCAGCCGCCGCCGUAA